rnacentral:sRNA from 1 species
CCGGUGGAGCCAGCGCGGCGACCGCCUGCAGAAGGUUGACCGCGUGGUAGGGGGCCCAGAGCAAGCCGAAGGCAAGCACGAUGGCGCUCACCAGCCGGCCCACCCGCGCCCCGUGCCGCCCGGAGCCCCAGCGGGCGCCCCGCAGCCGUGCCAGCGUCACGCUGUAGCAGCCGAGCAUCAGCCCGAAAGGAAGCACGAAGGCGGUCAGAGUCUCCAGGCUCAGGUGGGCGGCGGCAUGGGCCGGCGACGGGUGGCACAGCUGGCAUACGCGGUCCCUCCACAGGUGGCGGUAGACUGCAGCCGGGACGGCAAGCAACAGGGCGGCCAGCCAGACGGCCAGCAGCAGGCGGCGGGCCAGGGCCGGGCUGCGCAGCCGGGGCGCCAGGAAGGGGCGGGUGACCGCGAGGCAGCGCUGCAGGCUGAGCAGGCCGGUGAGCAGCACGCUGGCGUACAUGCUGAGCGCGCACACGUAGUACACCGCCUUGCAGCCCGCCUGGCCCAGCGGCCAGGCCUGCCCGGUCAGGAAGGCCACAAAAAGCGGCGUGAGCAGCAGCACCGCACCGUCGGCCAGCGCCAAGUGCAGCACAAGCGUGGCCGCCAGCGGUCGCCCCCGUGCAGGCCGCCAGCCCGCC